GACGAACGCUGGCGGCGUGCUUAAUACAUGCAAGUCGAACGGAAAGGCCCUGCUCUUGUGGGGUGCUCGUGUGCCGAACGGGUGAGUAACACGCGAGUAUCCUGCCCCUGACUUUGGGAUAACUUCAGGAAACUGGGGCUCAUAUCGCAGAGGAGCUCUUGCUGCACGGUGGGCGUUGGAAAGUUUCGGUGUUUGGGGAUGUACUCGCGGCUUAUCAGCUUGUUGGUCUGGUAGUGGCUUUCCAAGGCUUCGACGGGUAGCCGGCCUGAGAGGGUGACCGGCCACAUUGGGACUGAGAGACGGCCCAGUCGCCUACGGGAGGCAGCAGUGGGGAACAUUGCAGAAUGGGCGGAAGCCUGAUGCAGCAACGCCGGGUUCGGGAUGACGGCCUUCGGGUUAUAAACCACUUUCGACUGAGACGAAGCGUGAGUGACGGUAAUGGGUAAAGAAGCACCGGCUAACUACGUG
rnacentral:rRNA from 1 species